AUGCGCAGGAAGGGAGAAGGAAGAGAACCUGGCAAGAGAGGAGGGGGAAAAAAAGAGAGGCAAAUAGGAGGCGACAGAGAGGAGCGGAGAAAAGUGAGGAAGCGGGUGGUCGCAGUUGGUGGGCAUUACCGCUCUCCGGCAGAAGGGGGCACCUCUUGGGCCGGGACAGCCUUCGACAGGGCCGGGGCGGGACGUCCGGGCGGAGCCCGCCCUCGGGCAGGGGCUCCGGGGUGCUGGGCGCCCCCUCCUGGCGGCUGCGCGGCGCUCAACUCGGCGGUCCCUCGGGUGCUGGGGUCCCGCGCCGGCUCGGCCCCCGGCGCCGGGGACCCGGAGGUGGUGCGGGGGAGGGAAGUCGGGAGACCUAGGCGGUUGAGGGUGCCGGGGCGACGGGCAGGGCCCCCCACCCCCCACCUCCCGAGCCCUCCCCAGCGCGCUCCUCACCUGGGGCCUGCAGGGCUCCUUCCCCGCGGGCACGGCUCUGGCGCGCCCCUCGGCGGCCCGGCUCCUACCCCAAGCCGAGCCGGCGGAGGAGCCCGCCCUCCUCGCCGAGCAGUCGCGGUCUCCGCCGCCGCAGCAGCUGGGAGGGAGGGAGCGACCGGCGGCUGCUGCCGGGCGGCGUCUGGGGGCCGCGAGCCGAGCGCGAGGAGCCGCCAUCUGGAGCCUCGGCUGCGGGCGGGGUUGCGGGUGCCAGGGAAGGGGCCGGGCGACUGGGCCCGGGGCGCGCGAGAGGCCGGGGUCCGAGCGGCGUGGGAGCGGAGGCCUGGGGCUGUGAUGGGAAAUGUGCGGGAGGGGGUCUGGCCCCUGGGGAGGGGGAGCAGAGGCCUGCCCCCUUUCGGGCCCCCCCUGAACCCCGGGGCAGUCCCGACCCGGAGGUCUAGCGAAAGAUCGAGGCACCCGCGUGGCAGUCCCUCCCCCUGGCGGGGUGGAGAGCUGAGGCGGGGGGGCGGUGUGGGUACCAAAACUCUCCUACACGCUCACACACCCGCUGCCCAUCAGAAGUGGUUUUCUCAUUUCCCUUUCCUCCCACCUUGUCCAUCCCACUCCAGGAAACAGUCCCCUCCAUACGGCGUGGAUUUUUGGACACCUCCACAUCACUCCAGAGAACUUUUUCAGCCAGAACGUGGGACAGACACUGACAGGAUACCAUCCUUUGGGAUAAAUGCCAUCUAG
rnacentral:lncRNA from 1 species